rnacentral:rRNA from 1 species
CAGAGGUCCCAAGCGUUGUUCGGAUUCACUGGGGCGUAAAGGGUGCGCAGGUGGGUUUGCAAGUUCGAUGUGAAAGCCCCGGGCUUAACCCGGGAAUGGCAUUGGAUACUGCAGAUCUGGAGGAUCGGAGGGGGGGACUGGAAUUCUUGGUGUAGCAGUGAAAUGCGUAGAUAUCAAGAGGAACACCAGUGGCGAAGGCGAGUCCCUGGACGAUACCUGACACUGAGGCACGAAAGCUAGGGGAGCAAACAGGAUUAGAUACCCUGGUAGUCCUAGCUGUAAACGGUGCGCAUUUGCUGUAAACGGAAUCGACCCCGUUUGUGGCGAAGCUAACGCGAUAAAUGCGCCGCCUGGGAAGUACGGUCGCAAGAUUA